rnacentral:tRNA from 1 species
AUAAAUUGCUGAGUGGUCUAAAGCGUUAGUUUUGAAAAUUAUUAUACUUAUUUGUAUCGAGGGUUCGAACCCCUCUUUAUC